rnacentral:siRNA from 1 species
UCCUACUAUCCUCACUUGCUC